GAGCCCGGUGUCAUUUAUAAGCGCGGACAUAUCUGUACGGACCAGAAGAGACCUGGAAUAACCUACUUAUAGAAAGGCAAGACUACGGAUUCAGUUACUUGAAAAGAAAGAAACUAUUAAGUGAACAUCUCACCUUUUUGCUUGUUCAUCUUUUUUCCGACAAACAGCAGCGGACACUUCAUCACUUCUACGACAUAUUUCAAAGAAUUAAAAGAAGACAAACGGAUUUACAGAGAUCUGUCGACACAUCAUGCCAUGGACUGUACCAGUGAGUGUUGACCCAUUGAGCUCGCAGUCACAGCUGCCUGUGGAUAUGGAGUUGGCACAUACCCCCCAGAGACUCCAUCAUGCACACUCGCUGCACACACACUCACAAUCCUCACCGCCUGCUGCACACACACACAGACUACCAGCCAAGCUGGGUGCUCUGUCCACGCACC